UACGAAGGGGGGCUAGCGUUGCUCGGAAUGACUGGGCGUAAAGGGCGCGUAGGCGGUUUGUACAGUCAGAUGUGAAAUUCCUGGGCUUAACCUGGGGGCUGCAUUUGAUACGUGCAGACUUGAGUGAGGAAGAGGGUUGUGGAAUUCCCAGUGUAGAGGUGAAAUUCGUAGAUAUUGGGAAGAACACCGGUGGCGAAGGCGGCAACCUGGUCCUUGACUGACGCUGAGGAGCGAAAGCCAGGGGAGCAAACGGG
rnacentral:rRNA from 1 species